rnacentral:lncRNA from 1 species
AGCUUUCAAAUUCUUUUUUUUUUUUUGAGAAAAUUAUAACUUAUUAAAACUGGGCAACACUGUAUAGCACAAAGGAAGAGAGAGAGAGGGAGGAGAGGAAGGAAGGAAGGGAAGGAAAGGGAAUUCUAGGCCAGUUUACUUUGGAACAUGCAAGCUGAAGUUCUGAUUAUAAUAUUAACAAAUAGAAUCUAACAACAUAUGAAGAGAAUAAUACGUCAUGACCUAGUAGGGUUUAUUCCAGGAAAAUAAGAUUGAGUCAAUAUAUGAAAUCUUUCAACAUAAUUCAUUAUAUUGAAACAUUAACAAAAUCCUUAUAGCAUUUCAGUAGAUAUCAAAAUAGUGUUUUGUGAAAUUCAACAUCUAUUCAUGAUUUAAAGAAAAAUAUUUUAGGGGCUGGCCCAGUGGCGCAGCGGUUAAGUUCGCACGUUCCCUUCUCAGCGGCCCAGGGUUCGCAGGUUCAGAUCCCGGGUGCGGACAUGGCACUGCUUGGCAAAAGCCAUGCUGUGGUAGGCAUCCCACGUAUAAAGUAGAGGAAGAUGGGCACAGAUGUUAGCUCAGGGCCAAUCUUCCUCAUCGAAAAGAGGAGGAUUGGCAGCAGUUAGCUCAGGGCUAAUCUUCCUCAAAAAAAAAAAAAAAAAAAUUUUAGCAAGCUAAGGAUUGAAAGUUAGCUUUCACUUUUUCAUACUCUUCUAAUUCUAUAAGAGUUUAAGACAAUGAUUGUGUGCAUUGCUUGUGCAAUUUUAAAAAAUUAAGUCAUGCAGAAAAAUCAGCCACUUACAUCAUGAUCAAGUUCAUUACAUAAUGUCCAGCUCUCCAUUUUUCUAUCUCCACCAUCACAGCCUUUGUCAUGAGACAAAAAUAACAAGAACUUUUUUUAAUAUAUAGAAAAUAAUAGAAAUGAACAUAUAUGAUCUCUAUAAAUUUGUCAUCUUUGAUUUUUUUUAAGAUUUUUAUUUAUUUUAUUUUUUUUUCCUUUUUCUCCCCAAAGCUCCCCGGUACAUAGUUGUGCAUUUUUAGUUGUGGGUCCUUCUAGUUGUGGCAUGUGGGACGCCUCCCCAGUAUGGCCUCAUGAGCGGCGCCAUGUCCGAGCCCAGGAUUCGAACCAGCGAAACCUGGGGCCGCCGAAGCGGAUUGCUCGAACUUAACCAUUCAGCCACGGGGCGGCCCUGUCUUUGAUUUUUAAUGAAUAUCCAUGCACCGAUGUUAGAAUUCUGGGCAUAUGAAGCAUUAAUUCCCUCCUGAAUUAUUUAAACCAUCCCAUUUCGGUAGGUUCACACGUGAAUAAUUAGCUUGAAUAAUUCCAUGAUAAAGAGCCUUAUGAAUUCUUAGGAAAUCUAAAUGGUCUUACUACAAAGUUUUAAUGUCAAUCUUAAAAUUUGAGGGAGUCAUUCUUGAAACACUAAGGUACAGAGAAUAUGGACAUAAAGGAAGAAAAAGGUCUUCCAAAAAUAAAAAAGAACAUAAACAUAAUGUAGCGGCCUAGCCAACAAGGUCGUUUGUGAAUUUGUUGCUGAGUGGGAAACCACCAGACGCCACAUCAGAAAGGCUUGACUCAAAUUGCACCGAUGUAAAAAAUGGCCCCCACCUGCCAAGCAAAACAAAACAAUGUGCUGUGUCCUAUUGUGUUAUAAAAAUAAUAACAAAAAACGAAAAUAGUGAUAAGGCCCCUGUUUGCAAAGCAUUUACGUGGUGGAGCAUGUCUCCACAGCUGGUUGGCCGUCCAUCUUAGGCACAUGAAUCUCACCUGGGUUUUAUGGCAAGCUCCCUGGGCACCUGGGAAACAAGUUCCUCCAGUGGCUCCACGGACGUGGUGGAGGGUCCUUGGGGAGGGUGGUGGCCCUCCCAGAUGGGUGGCCACGUGCUCUGUGGCUGACCGCUGCUGCAGAUGUCUAACAAGGAAGAGCCCAACCUUGGCUGCGCUCAGUUCAUCUUGGGGGAGCAGCAGGCGCCAGAGGAGAGACAGGCUGUGUAGUGGUUAGAGCAGAAUUCUGAAACCAGGUUGACUAGGGGAGCUGGGUGCUCUUGGACAAGUGACUUAACUUCUCUGUGCCUGAGUUUCUUCACCUGUAAAAUAGGGAUGAUAAUUCCUAAUGGGGUGGUUAUGCAGAUUUUAUGCUUAUAAACAGUGCCUAAGAAUGCAUCUGGCAGCAUAAAUACUAUAUAAAUUUUACCAGGCUAUGCUAUCAGACCCCACACCCCUCACCACCACUGCUCUAAGGACCACUGAGGGGACUGGUCUGGGGACUCCAACUGUCCCAAGCUCUAACCUUGAUAUGGAUAUCCCCCAAGAGCAAGGCUUAAAAUAAGGAUUCGGGUGUAAGCAGUUUAAGUGGUGAUCCCAGGGCGGUGAGGCCGGGAAGGACAGGAAGACAAUACAGCACCCAAUGACGGGUAAGUUGCCACUUCAGGCAAUGGGGCUCCUUCCCAAGGGAUCCUUUGAAAGACCCUGAAACAUUCUAGGGGCAAGAACACCGAGGUACUUAUCCACCAAGUCCCAUGCCUCAUCAGCUGAAGGCUGCUCCUGGGUUAUUUCUCCUCGGCAUUGGGCACUUCCGGCCUGCCUUGUGCUUGGGUCAAGCAUAAACCUAUGUCAGAGACACAGGUGCCUGUUCCCUUGAAUGAGAACUGUCCACCAAAGCUGCACAUGACCUCUGAGGGUGGUCUGAGGGCACAUUGUGGGGCACCAACACGUCUGCCACAACCUGUGAAACUUUGUGGCACACCAGGUGGUAAACUGCUUGAGGGAGGAACAAUUUGAUAGUUGUCAAAUUUUGCUAAUCCAAGUGAUACUGCAAUAAACAACCUCAUAUAUCCAUCGUUUUGCACACGUGCGAGUGUAUCCACAGGAUAUUAGUAUAAGUAGAAUUGCUGGACCAAAGGAUAUGUUCCUGUGUCAUUUUGAUGGAGACAGCCAGAACCGGCCUCCUGUGACACUGCCUGUCUCCUGCACCCUUGCCAACAUCCGUGCUAACACUCUUUGAUCUUUGUCAAUCUGGUCGAUGAAAAAAUAGUAUCCCAUACUUUAAAUUUUCAUUUUCCAAACUCUAAUUGAGGUCGGCAUCUUUUAAUAGUUUGAAAGCCAUCUGUACCCCUAAUAAGUUAAUGGAUCUACACAAUGACCAACGAAGGCUGGAGAUAGCGCAAAAAGACAGGCCUCGUGUGCUUCCUGGCAAAGGAACACAGCACGUCCAUGAAAUAUUCUUGCCCCAAAAGUCAAAUCUGAAUUUGACGAAAGCCUCUAAAUGUAACCACCAUUGAUGGAAAAUACAGGGGACAGAGGGACAUAAUAAAUGAUCCAUGGGAAUGUAAUCAGUAAAAUGCAGGCUGGAGGCAACUUCUCAGGACACGUAACCGCACUUCUGCACUUCCACUUCCGGGAAGAUGGAGCAGAUGUACUUUUCCCUUUCUCUACUGCUAAGUAGAACUAACAACCCUGGACGAUGUAUACAAAGCAAACCUAAGAAAGCUCUGAAAGGUGGAGAGGAAGCACACCCACCAUGCACCUCAGAACCUGAGGAACGACAUGGCAGCGAGUUCUCUGGGCAUUCUUUCUGCCUCAGAGAUCCUAGACUCACAGCUGAAGAGGCAAGAGCUGGCUACCCAAAAAAGCCCACGGUCAGAGAAAACAAAAAACAGCCCCAGCAAAGCCUGCACACUCUAGUCAAAGGAUUAGGAAAGGAACAACCUAGCAAAACAGAAAAUUCUUAGACAAUAAUAGCUCUACUCCAGCCAAAUACCACUGAAAAGACUAUGGCAUCAGCCAAGGCUGAGUGGGGAGCCCAGACUUCCACCUUCACGAGUCAAGGUUCCCCAACACCCCCACCAAUGUGGGGCAUUGUGAGAUAAGGUCAAGGGAACCAAAACUGUCAUCUGUGCUGGCCAGGAAUGAGCCCUCUCCUGCCGCCCCCUUUCCCUGAAAUGUCAAGGAAGACCACACUGGGACCCCAGAAUUCCUCCCCCACCUGGCGAUAAUGCAAGUGGGUAAAGGGACAUAAAAGAAGGUAAAGUCCUACACUUCACUCAACCUGGUAAAAUGAUGACACCAGUAGACUGUGUUAAAUUAUGUAUAAAUAAUGUAAUACCUAGUGCAAUCACUAAAAAAUGUAUGCAAAGAGACUCACUCAAAAACUAUAGAUAAAUUCAAAUGGAAUUGGAAAAAAAAUGUUCAAAUAACCCACAGGAAGGCAGAAAAAAGAAAACAGGGAAAUGAAUAACAGAAAGAACGCACCGAAAAUAAAAAAAAAACAAAACUUGACAGAUAUAUCUUAGCAUACCAAUAAUUAUAUUAAAUGUAAAUGUCUGAAUAUACCAAUUAAAAGACAGAUAUUGGCAGAGCAAAUUUGAGAAAUCAACUAUAUAUUGUUUGUAGGAGACUCACUUCAAAUAUAUAGGCAGGUUGAAAGAAAAAGGAUAAAAAAGAUAUAUCUUGCAAACACUAAUCAAAGGAAAACAGCAAAACUUGAUAGAACUAAAAGGAGAAACAGACAAAUCCGCAAUCAAUACCCUUCUCUCAACAACUGACAGAACAACUAGACAGAAAAGUCCCCAAUGACAUAGGAGAACUCAACACCACCAGCCACCAACAGGAUCCAAUUGACAUUAACAACAGCAGCAGAACACACAUUCUUUCCAAGUGCCCACAGCACAUAAACCAAGAUCGGCCAUAUUCUGGGCAAUAAAACAAACCUCAACAAAUUUAAAAGAAUUGAAAUCAUACAAAGUACGUUCUCUUACCACAAUGAACUCAAAACUAGAAAUCAAUAACAGAAAGAUAACAUGAAAAUCUCCAACACUUAGAAACUAAACAACACAUUUCUAAAUAAUUCAUGGGUCAAAGAGGAUGUCUCAAGGGAAAUAAAAAAUACAUUGAACUGAGUGAAAUGAAAAUACAACAUAUUAAAAUUUGUGGGAUGUGGUUAAAGCAGUGCCAAGAGGGAAAUUUAUGCAAUAAAUGCAUACAUUAGAAAUGAGAAAAAGUCUCAACUCAAUGGUCUAAGCUUCUACCUCAAGAAACUAGAAAAAGCAGAACUCACAAAAGUAAACUCAAAACAACAGAAGGAAAUAAUCAAGAUCAGAGCAGAAAUCAGUGAAAUCUCAAGACAUCCAAAGAAAUAAAGAACUCUGAUAAAGGGAACUACAUAGGUAAAUAUAAAAGGAAUGUAUUGUAUUUUUGGUUUGUAACUCUCUUUAUUUCUACAUGAUUUUAAACACAAAUGCAGGGUGCCAGCCUGGUGGUGUAGUGGUUAAGUUUGCAUGCUCUGCUUUGGCAGUCCAGGGUUCACAGGUUCAGAUCCUGGGUGUGGACCUACCCACCACUCAUCAAGCCAUGCUGUGGUGGCAUCUCACAUACAAAAUAGAGGAAGGCAGCCACAGAUGUUAGCUCAGUGACAAUCUUCCUCAAGCAAAAAGAGGAAGAUUGGCAACAGAUGUUACCUCGGGGCCAAUCUUCCAUACCAAAAAAUAAGUAAAUAAAAAUAAAACACAAAUGCAAAAAAAUUAGAAAUCUAUGUUAAUGGACAUACAAUAUAUAAAGAUAUAACUUGUGACAAAAAUAAUAUAAAGGGGGCAGCAUGGAGCUGUGUAGGAGCAGUUUUUGUCUAUUAUAGGAGUUAAUUUGGUAUGAAUUCAAACUAAAUUGUUAUAAAUUUAAGAUGUUAAUUGUAAUCCCUGUGGUGACCAUCAAGAAAAUAUCCUAAAAAUAUACACCAAAGGAAAUGAGAAGAAAUGGAGGACUUGCAACAGUGUAAACCAAUUAGACCUAACAAACAUCUGUAGAACAGCAAAAUACACAUUCUGUAGUGCACAUGAAAUGUGCUCCAGGAUAGACAGUACGUUAAACCAGAGGACAAGUCUCAACAAAUUUAAAACACUGAAAUCAUGUAAUGUAUGCUAGAAAUCAAUAACAGGAGGAAAACUGGGAAAUGCACAAAUUUGUAGAAAUUAAACAACAAACUGUUAAAUAACCAAUGAAUCAAAGAAGAAAUCACAGAGGAAAUUAGAAAAUACUUAGAGACAAAGGACCAAAAACUUAUGGGAAGCAGUAAAAGUCGUGCUCAGAGGGACAUUUAUAGCAGUAAAUGCAACUUAUUACUCGAAAAGUACAAACUACCAUAAUUCACCCGAUAUGAAAUAGAUCAUUUGAACGGCCCUGUAACAGUUAAGGAAAUUGAUUUUGUAGUUUAAAAACUUCCCCCUUCCAAAAAUCUCUAGGCUCAGAUGAUUCCAUUGGAGAAUUCUACUAAAUGUUUAAAAGAAGAAUUAACACUGUUUAUGCACAAUCGCUUCCAGAAAAUAGAAGAGGAGGGAAGCGAUUACCUUGAUACCAAAACCAAAGAUUCAGAGGAACCGACUGCAAUCUUUAGAGUUAAGAUGGAUUCUCAUUCUAAGAAAAUUCAAAUCAAGAAAAUGUUUUUAUAAGGCAAUCAGGGAAAUUUGCGUACUGACUAAAUGUUAAGAAAAUAUUAAGACUUUUUAUGUACAUUAAUACUAUUUUGGUUGUGUAUAUUAAAAUAGUCCUUAUUGUUUAGAGACACAUACUGAAAUAUUUACGGAUGAAAUAAUGUGACACCUGGGAUGUAUUUAAAAUCAUUCAGGGCUGGGGAUGGGGAAGUCAGGGGACCAUGAGCAGAUAUUUGUGGACCCCAGGGAGGCACAUGGAGGUUGUUAGACUAUUCUUCUCUGUAUGUUUAAAAUUUUCCAUAAGAACUUUUUAGGCCACUUGUUUUCUUUUUUUAUAAUCUUCCUGGUCAUGACUUUUGUAACACUUUCUAUUGCAUUCUUGUUUUUUCUUACUGAUUUGUCAGACUUCUUUUUUAAAAACGUGUUAAGGAAAUCAGCCCUUUAUCACUCAUACACAUAAAUACUUCUUAGUUUCUUAUUUGUCUUUUGAGUAUCUUUCUCUUUUUUUACAGAAAAUUUUAAUAUUACUGGAUAUUUUGGCCCAAAUGUUUUGACCCCGUAGAUAUAUUUACCCCAGGACUAUUUUGACUAUUUUGAGUUUUGAAUCCAAAUAUUUUUAUCAGAAUUACACUAAUCUUAAUACAUCAAGAAAGAGUUUUCUUGAGCAAGCUGCAUGAAGCCAAUUUAAUUCCUUGAUCCGUUAUUUUAUGACCAAAGUUAAAUUCUUUCUAAUGUCUCCUAUUUUGAAUUUAAUUUUCCAAAAUGAGUUUUCCAUGACAAUCACUUGGUUUCAUAGAGUAAAUGCCACCAUGAAGAUUUAAUUCUUCUCUCAGUCAUUUUUAGUCUACAUCUGAUUUCACUGGUUUCCUGCCAUUGUGUGUUGUCUACUGUGUCCAUUAUUUCUAAUUGGUCCAAUUUUUUCAGGUCAAAUUUGAUUCUCUAAAUGUCAUAAUUUUAUUUUCUGUUGGGAUCUUAGUCAACAUCUGAUUCAAUGUGGUUUGAGUUUCUGUCACCUUGAUUCUGUGUUGGUAUUUCUACACAUCUGUGGUAGGUUGUAUUAUUUGCUCACAAUUCUACUUUCCCUUGCCUCUACCCAUUGAUGCUGGGCUUGACUGUGGAUGGCAGACUAUAUUUUCCAAAGAUGGCCACGACAAUAUUUCCCAUCUCAUGUGCUUCUCACGUCUUCCACUGUGCUCUUGAUGUCCUCCCAUCGUGUAGCGAAGUUUAUGUCCUUUCCACCUUGAACCUGGGUGAAAGUGUGAGUGCCUUGACCAAUGGGGUUUGACAGAAGUGAUGCUAUGUGUCUUCUGAGGCUAGAUGAUAAAAAUGCAAUACACUUCCCACUUGCUCUCUUGGAACACUUGCUCUUGGGAUCCACCCACCGUGCUUUGAGGGAGCCCAAACUAGCCUGCACAGAGAGAGCACCUGCGGAUGCCACAGAGAGGUGUUCCAGGUGACAGCUCCUGCUGAGGUCCCAGCAGAUAGCCAGCAUCAACCACCAGAUGUGUGAGUGAAAACACCUCCAGAAGGUUCUGGCCACGGCCUUUGAGUGUUUCCAGCCGAGGCUCCAGAUGUUCUAGAGCAGAGGCAAGCAGUUCCCACUGUGCCCUGCCUGAAUUCCUGACCAGCAGAAUCGAUUCAUGAGGACUGGAAUGAGGUCUCAGUCCCUCUGUUCCCAGAGCCCAGUACACAGUGGAGGCACAAUAAAUAUUGGUUGAUUGACUGAAUAUCGUGUCCCAGCUGCUCUGCUGAAUCCUUCCACUGGCAUCCGGGGUGUCAGUGGAGGUGUGCUGCCUGGACUUGUCUUCAGGAGAACCUUGAGGAGGCUAUGCUAUGACGAGGGGAGUUGUGUGACCACCUCCAGC